UACGAAGGGGGCUAGCGUUGUUCGGAAUCACUGGGCGUAAAGGGCGCGUAGGCGGCUUUGUAAGUCGGGGGUGAAAGCCUGUGGCUCAACCACAGAAUUGCCUUCGAUACUGCAUGGCUUGAGACCGGAAGAGGUAAGUGGAACUGCAAGUGUAGAGGUGAAAUUCGUAGAUAUUCGCAAGAACACCAGUGGCGAAGGCGGCUUACUGGUCCGGUUCUGACGCUGAGGCGCGAAAGCGUGGGGAGCAAACAGG
rnacentral:rRNA from 1 species